GACUCGGUAGCUCAGCUGGUAGAGCACAUCACUUUUAAUGAUGGGGUCCUGGGUUCGAAUCCCAGCCGGGUCACGA
rnacentral:tRNA from 5 species